rnacentral:lncRNA from 10 species
CUCAUCUCCUAUUUUCCUUCCUUAGAGUUGGUGGAGACAUAACGAAUUAGAGUGCUUUAAACAUUCUCCCAGGAAGCCCUUGGGCAGCCUUUCUCCAUGUUUGAAUAAUUAUAUGCUCAUUCUGAAAGGAAUGGGUAUGGUAUCAGGACAACAGAUAUCCCUGGCUGUGCCUUAUCUUCUUUAGGAGAAUGGAGGGUAAACAAUCUGGAGCAAUUAAUGGUUAGUCAGCUCUGAAACUAUUCAUGUCAAGUAGCAAUAAAAAGGUGAUUCCAGUGAACCAAGAAGGGCAAUUCUAGGAAAUGAGGUUCUGUGUUUCAGUCAGCCUGAACAAGCAGUAAGUUGUAUACAUAACAUUUAUAUAUAUUAUGUAAGCAUCCUGACAAGUCUAUGAAGUGGGUAGGAUGAGGAUUAUCACCCCAUUUUACAGACCAGAAAGUUGAGAUUCAGAGAACUUGACUGACUCUCCCAGUGUCAUACAACAGUUAAAUGGCAGAAUUAGAACUUGAACCAAAGUCUGACUCAUAUAGAUCAGGGCUAUUUCAAU